GUGCUUGAUUUGGCGCACAUACACUAAAAUUAGAAUAAUACAGAGAUUAGCAUGGUCCCUGUGCAAGGAUAACACGAAAAUUUGUGAAGCAUUCCAUGCUUAA
ensembl:snRNA U6 U6 spliceosomal RNA